CCUACGGGCGGCAGCAGUGAGGAAUAUUGGUCAAUGGUCGGGAGACUGAACCAGCCAAGCCGCGUGAGGGAGGAAGGUACAGAGUAUCGUAAACCUCUUUUGUCAGGGAACAAAGGCGGGGACGUGUCCCCGGAUGAGUGUACCUGAAGAAAAAGCAUCGGCUAACUCCGUGCCAGCAGCCGCGGUAAUACGGAGGAUGCGAGCGUUAUCCGGAUUUAUUGGGUUAAAAGGGUGCGCAGGCGGUCUGUUAAGUCAGCGGUCAAAGCCCGGGGCUCAACCCCGGCCCGCCGUUGAAACUGGCAGUCUCGAGUUGGAGAGAAGUAUGCGGAAUGCGCGGUGUAGCGGUGAAAUGCAUAGAUAUCGCGCAGAACUCCGAUUGCGAAGGCGGCCUGCUGGACUGUGACUGACGUUGAGGCCCGAAGGCGUGGGGAGCAAACAGGAUUAGAUACCCUUGUAGUC
rnacentral:rRNA from 1 species